AGCUCAAAGGUAAAGUUCAUGCAGCUAGUAUUUGGUAGAGCUGGGAACUGGGAUCCAGACCUAGGUAUGUCUCUAAAAUACCACCACUAAUGUUUUAGUGUUAAGUCAUAUUAUACCAGAAAGUAUUUUUUUAAAUAUAGAAUUAGUUUUCAUUUUACGAUCAGCAAAAAUAUUUUUUUAUACUGUUAACCAUUAGGAGGAUAUGUUUAAUAGCAGGCAAUCAUAAAGGUUUGAAGAUUUUUCUUGAGUCCAUUUGCUCUGGUCAUUUUACCUCAUUUCCAAUGGAAACUCUGGUAUGUAUUUUCUUUAUGAAAUAAUCCUUACUAAAUAUUUAUUCCAAAUAUGCCAUAAGAUAUACAACCAAGAGUUCCAUGGUUGGAUAAGAAUUUUGGUUAUUUUAAAGCUUCAUAGGUAACAAGGACUGUCAGGUUUAACUAUGAAACUAUCAACAGAUAGUCAACUUUCACUAAGACUCUGGUUAACUAUUCAGAAGUUACCUAAAUACAAGCCAAUUCUUCCUCAAAUGAGCAUUUCUC